GUUAAUGUAGCUUAAUAAAAAGCAAAGCACUGAAAAUGCUUAGAUGAGCUUACUAGCUCCAUAAACA
rnacentral:tRNA from 2 species